AACCAGGAAUGUAUGCACAUAAUCAGAAGUCCAGUUGUUGUGUUUCCAGUACUAGAAUUUGAUUAAUCAUCAUCUUUGGCCUAUGAACAGUCUCAACCGUGGUCCAGGUACCCAAGGAAAAUAGAUGGUGAGGAUACCUGAGAAGACCCUAUCUGACCUACCCACCUCCAGCCCCAUCAAAGAACAUGCUCCUGAUCUAGUUUCACAGUACACAUCCAAACUUAACAAUUCAGAGAAGAAUUGAGUUUCUGCAGCUCUGGAGCACACUGGAAUAUCAAGUUAGAACAGCUUCCCAGGAGUGAACA